rnacentral:rRNA from 1 species
AAUUUAUAUAUCGCUUUUUUGUAAACUGGCAGUUUAUUGGUAUUUCGUAAGAUUUGCCAAAGCAUUUAUUAGAUUAAACCAUCUACUAUUUUAGUAGUAAGACGAAUCUAGAUAACUUUGCUGAUCGUAUGGCCUUGUGCCGGCGACGUUUCAAUUGAGUUUCUGCCCUAUCAACUUGUUGGUAAGGUAUUGGCUUACCAAGGUUGCAACGGGUAACGGGGAAUCAGGGUUCGAUUCCGGAGAGGGAGCCUGAGAAACGGCUACCACAUCCAAGGAAGGCAACAGGCGCGCAAAUUACCCAAUCUAGACAGUAGGAGGUGGUGAAGAGAAUUACUAAGUGGUGGUUCAUUGAACUAUCAACUUGGAAUGAACGUAACUUAAGCAAUUCGAUGAGAAACAACUGGAGGGCAAGUCCUGGUGCCAGCAGCCGCGGUAAUUCCAGCUCCAGUAGUUUGCUUUAAAGUUGUUGCGUUUAAAACGCUCGUAGUUGGAUCACGCAGCAGUGUUCAGUAAUCUAUUCACA